GACGAACGCUGGCGGCGUGCUUAACACAUGCAAGUCGAACGGAAAGGCCCUGCUUUUGUGGGGUGCUCGAGUGGCGAACGGGUGAGUAACACGUGAGUAACCUGCCCUUGACUUUGGGAUAACUUCAGGAAACUGGGGCUAAUACCGGAUAGGAGCUCCUGCUGCAUGGUGGGGGUUGGAAAGUUUCGGCGGUUGGGGAUGGACUCGCGGCUUAUCAGCUUGUUGGUGGGGUAGUGGCUGACCAAGGCUUUGACGGGUAGCCGGCCUGAGAGGGUGACCGGCGACAUUGGGACUGAGAUACGGCCCAGACGCCUACGGGAGGCAGCAGUGGGGAAUAUUGCACAAUGGGCGGAAGCCUGAUGCAGCAACGCCGCGGGCGGGAUGACGGCCUUCGGGUUGUAAACCGCUUUCGCCUGUGACGAAGCGUGAGUGACGGUAAUGGGUAAAGAAGCACCGGCUAACUACGUG
rnacentral:rRNA from 1 species